rnacentral:rRNA from 1 species
UUGGUGCCAGCAGCCGCGGUAAUUCCAGCUCCAAUAGCGUAUAUUAAAGUUGUUGCAGUUAAAAAGCUCGUAGUUGAAUUUCGGAAUCUGUCCGUCGGUCGGGCUUCACUGUCCGUACUGGUGUGAUGGGUUUCUACCUUCUGAAUAAUCGGCAUGUCAUUAAUUUGGUGCGCCGGGGAAGCAGAACUAUUACCUUGAAAAAAUUAGAGUGCUUAAAGCAGGCUAUCGCCUGAAUAGAUUAGCAUGGAAUAAUAAAAUAGGACGGCAUGGUUCUAUUUUGUUGGUUUCUAGGAUCACCGUAAUGAUUAAUAGGGAUAGUUGGGGGCAUUAGUAUUCAAUUGUCAGAGGUGAAAUUCUUGGAUUUAUUGAAGACUAACUUCUGCGAAAGCAUUUGCCAAGGAUGUUUUCAUUAAUCAAGAACGAAAGUUAGGGGAUCGAAGACGAUCAGAUACCGUCGUAGUCUUAACCAUAAACUAUGCCGACUAGGGAUCGGACGAUGUUAAUUUUUUAAUGACUCGUUCGGCGCCUUACGGGAAAC